rnacentral:rRNA from 1 species
GCCCGCCGCGGUAACGACGGGUAACGGGGAAUCAGGGUUCGAUUCCGGAGAGGGAGCCCGAGAAACGGCUACCACUUCCAAGGAAGGCAGCAGGCGCGCAACUUACCCUAAUCUCGAUUCGAGGAGGUAGUGACAAGAAAUACCGAUGCGGGACCCUACGGGUGCCGCGUUCGGAAUGAGUACGAUUCGAACCACCUAACGAGGAACGAUCGGAGGGCAAGUCUGGUGCCAGCAGCCGCGGUAAUUCCCAGCUCCAAUAGCGUACGUUAAAGUUGCUGCAGUUAAAAAGCUCGUAGUUGAACGUUCGGGUUCCGCGGGACGGGGCCGCCCCGCGAGGGACGGCGCCGCCCGGGCUCGUGAUAUCUUAUCUCGCCGCCCGUCGCGAGGCGGACGGAGGGAUGGAUGAGGUUACCUGGAAAAAAUCGGGGCGAUCUAGGCGGGCGAACCUCGCCAACGAACGAUCGGACAUGGG